CUGAGGUGGCGUCAGGAGAAGGCGCGGCUCAAGCGUUGCUUGUGGUGAGGAGCAGCCCGUAAUUGACUUUUUGGGGUUAUUGAGUGACCCCAAAACGCCAGAUAGAAGCAGUUCCUAAGGAUUCAGUGCCAAGAAUGUCCUGUUCUAAGGUUUUGUGGAAUCCCCACAGAAUCAUCUGUCAAACCCUCUGUGAGCAAUAGGAACCACAUCAACUGAAAAGUGUAAAAUCCCAUGAAAAAAUUCAAAACAAGCUACAAUCAGUCCAAGAAUGAAGCGCUGCUUUUUUAUGACUUCCAGCACCUCCAAGAAUGUGAACAAAGCCUUGGCAGCUCCUCUGCUGCUAAAAGUUGUUAAAGACAGGGUGAAACUGCCAGGUUUACCCUUUUUUUUUGGGCUCUCUGACUCCAAACUGGAGAUCCCAAGGUUUCCAAUCCUUACCUGAGGGCUGCAAAUGGAGAUUGCUUGGAGUUUUUGUCCUCAGGACCUCAAAACCUGGAAACUGAAGCAACGAGAGCCAGCAAUGUUUGAAUAUCUCAUGGGUUUUGCCUGCAGAUAAAAACCCAGCAGUCUCUUGAUAAAAUCAUCACCAAAUCAGGGGGUUUGGGGCCUCCUGUGUGACGUUUCCAGGUAUUUUGGCGUGGAUGUUCUGCCAGAAAAUAAAUCUUUGGGGCUCCUGUGAGACCCUGGAAACCCAAAGUUGUUGCUGAGCUGAAGUUUGCUGUGCCCUCACCUCACAAAAUAUUUCGGUGUUUUCUGACCUCUCUCUAGGUAGAAACCCUCCGGGUGAUUUCCUUGGUCUUCCAGCAAGCCCUUUUAAAUGGUUUCUAUUUAAUUAAGAAGCACCAUGGCUCAUUAGCAGCAAACAAAGCCGACUGCUGGGAUCUCCUACCACCUUUUUAACAUUUCCAGGCUUUCCUGCUUCCACCUCCCCAGCUCUGCACAGCAAGGUGAGAUCCCUCACCUGGCUCCUCUCCUUCCCACUCCUGUGCCUGAGCCCCAUCCUGCUGCUUUUCCCGGAGAAAGAUGAAGAAUUCCUGUGGGAUUUGGCUGUGCAGACAAGGCUGGACUUGUCCUCUC